AAUUGGAGGGCAAGUCUGGUGCCAGCAGCCGCGGUAAUUCCAGCUCCAAUAGCGUAUAUUAAAGUUGUUGCAGUUAAAAAGCUCGUAGUUGAAUUUCGGGAUCAAUAUUUCGGUCAUGCCGUUGGUAUGCACUGUUAUCAUUGAUUUCUCACCUUCUAAAGAACCGUAAUGCCAUUAAUUUGGUGUUACGGGGAAUUAGGACUGUUACCUUGAAAAAAUUAGAGUGUUUAAAGCAGGCUCACGCUUGAAUACAUUAGCAUGGAAUAAUGAAAUAGGACAUCCGAUUCUAUUUUGUUGGUUUCUAGGAUCGAUGUAAUGAUUAAUAGGGAUAGUUGGGGGCAUUAGUAUUCAAUUGUCAGAGGUGAAAUUCUUGGAUUUAUUGAAGACUAACUACUGCGAAAGCAUUUGCCAAGGAUGUUUUCAUUAAUCAAGAACGAAAGUUAGGGGAUCGAAGACGAUCAGAUACCGUCGUAGUCUUAACCAUAAACUAUGCCGACUAGGGGAUCGGAUGAUGUUAAUUUUUUAAUGACUCAUUCGGCGCCUUACGGGAAACCAAAGUGU
rnacentral:rRNA from 1 species